UACGUAGGGGGCUAGCGUUGUCCGGAUUUAUUGGGCGUAAAGAGCGUGUAGGCGGUCCGGUAAGUCCGCUGUGAAAGUCGGGGGCUCAACCCUCGAAUGCCGGUGGAUACUGUCGGGCUAGAGUGCGGAAGAGGCGAGUGGAAUUCCUGGUGUAGCGGUGGAAUGCGCAGAUAUCAGGAGGAACACCAAUAGCGAAGGCAGCUCGCUGGGACGGUACUGACGCUGAGGCGCGAAAGCGUGGGGAGCGAACAGG
rnacentral:rRNA from 1 species